CAGUAGCCACGGUAAUACGUAGGUGGCAAGCGUUGUCCGGAAUUAUUGGGCGUAAAGGGCUCGCAGGCGGUUUCUUAAGUCUGAUGUGAAAGCCCCCGGCUCAACCGGGGAGGGUCAUUGGAAACUGGGAAACUUGAGUGCAGAAGAGGAGGGUGGAAUUCCACGUGUAGCGGUGAAAUGCGUAGAGAUGUGGAGGAACACCAGUGGCGAAGGCGACUCUCUGGUCUGUAACUGACGCUGAGGAGCGAAAGCGUGGGGAGCGAACAGGAUUAGAUACCCCCGUAGUCCCUGUCUCUUAUAA
rnacentral:rRNA from 1 species